GCUUGUGUUCUUAGAUUCAUAGGCAAAGGACUUAGCCUUCUUGGCGAGGUCAACCGUGUAGCACCGGUUGAUAACCAAAGGAGACGUGGUGCUGCGAUUGUGGGGUUUUGCAUCGUGUUGUUCGAAAGCCGGAUCGAUUUGUGUCUCGUUUCCACCAAAUUGAGAGUUACCAGAACCUUCCUUUUGGAAGAUCGGGCCACCCUUAUUCUCAUCAAGUGGUAUCAAAGCUUCAAGUAUACCAUUAGGUUCACAUCUAUCCUUAGUUUUGAGUGUUCUUAUGUUCGUCCCGUCCAGUGUCAUAUCAUUUUCCUGUCCUACAACCCUUCCGCGCCAUAGCCUUUGCAUAUUUCAGUUUUAGAGUUCGUAGUGUUUAGUUUGUGUCUUGGUUGAGGUCAUGUUGCUAGUUAGGUCUUGUUAGAGUCAAAUUCAUGUGUUUUCCCCACCAUUUUCAUCAAUUUCUAGUCACCGCCGCAAAUUUUUACCACUUUCGGACCGUUUUGUGUCCUCUAAUUCGGAGUCCGUUUGUAAAACAGCCAUAACUUUCGCAUACGAACUCUGAUUUCGAUGUUCCAUAUAUAUCAAAAUUGAUUAGAAAAUUUUUUGGAACCGUCUGUCCCCGCCAUAGGUAUGUUCGACAAUUUUAGAUUUCCCAAAUUCACCUCCAAAGUUUGAGUUUUUACCUUACAAAAGUCUCUCCACAUUUUUUGCAAUCUUCAGAAAAUUCCACAGGCCAUGUCUUUCACUUGUUUAAGCUCAAAUUUUCUGUGGUUACUUUGUUGGUGCUCCUAAGUAAAAUAAAAAUAUCAAAAAAUAAAAAGAAAAGUCGAAAUUUUGCAAAAAAAAACAACGACAGCCCAAAAAUAAGAUAAAAGAGAGGGGCAAUAUAGGAACAAUAUCUAGAGGAGCACAUAGAGAAGAGCAAAGUGAGUUGUGUUAGCGUGUGCUGUUUUGUGCCUUGUUUCUAUUUCUCUUGCUAUCCAUCAUACUUGUUUCUCCACCUUGUUGAUCAUUACACACUUGGUACUUGGAACAUAUAAGGCCGGCAACAAGAACAAUCAAUUGGGACUAUAAUUCAGUAUUACUAUCUGUUUCUGAUUUUUGUUCUACAUAUAUAUAUUUGUCUCUUUGUGUGCCUUCCAAGCUCCAUAGAUACUUCUUGACAGCAAAGGUUUGCCUCCCUGCAAUCGUGGUUCCACAUCUUCCAGGUAUCCUUUGCCUUGCUGGUAAGAACACCAGUAAGACCUUGGUAAGGUGUAUCCUUUUGCUCUCAUUUUUGAGUGGCACCACUUCACCUUCGUAGUAUGAUUAUUAGGGAUAUCCUUCACAAUUUGUUCUUGUUUUUGUGUCUACAAUGUCAGGUGACGGGCUGCCCAAAGACUUCAAUGAGUGUGUUAGCCAAGAGCAGCUACAAGCUGUUGUACAACAAGCUAAUAAGGACAUGGAGUAGAUAGUCAUCAAGGCUGUUACUCAGAUGAUACUUGAGCUCAAGCUUGCUAACCAGUUGGAGAGAUUGGAUAGACGGAUGUCUGACCUCACUAAUAGUGUAGCUACUUUGGAAGUUCGUCCCGCUCCUGCUCCUGACAAUGAUGUGAAUGGAAGCAAUGACGAUGAUCUUGACAUGUAUGAUGCUAAUGGUAAUCUUGAUAACACGGCGAC
rnacentral:lncRNA from 1 species